rnacentral:misc_RNA from 1 species
GCCAAACUCAAAAAAGGGGUUUAGUAAUUUACCCUAAUUAAUAAUAUAAAAUUCCGUCAAAGCAAGAAAAUAACAAUUAAGCGCAUAUAGCUAAUUUCGGAGUUUGGUGUUCCCCAAAAUAACCAAUUGAGAUUUAAUGGGUAUUUGGUUUGGCUUAUAAGUUGGUCAAACCUACUUGUAAGUAGAACAUUAUAAGUAGAUUAACGUUUAGUUUGACU